rnacentral:rRNA from 1 species
CCUACGGGAGGCAGCAGUAGGGAAUAUUGCUCAAUGGACGAAACUCUGAACCAGCAACGCCGCGUGGAGGAUGAAGGUUUUAUGAUUGUAAACUCUUUUUUUUAUAGAAGUUAAUGACGGUAUCUCUCCAAUAAUCACCGUCUAACUCCGUUCCAGCAGCCGUGGUAAUACGGAGGCUGCAAGCGUUACACGGAGUCACUGGGCGUAAAGCGGGCGCAGGGGGGUUUGUAAGUCAGAUGUGAAAUCCUGUAGUUUAACUUCAAAAUUGCAUUUGAAACUGUGAGUCUAGAGUGCGGGAGAGGUAGGCGGAAUUCGUGGUGUAGCGGUAAAAUGCGUAGAUAUCAAGAAGAACACUGAUUGCGAAGGCGGCCUACUGGAA